rnacentral:tRNA from 2 species
GCCGAAAUAGCUCAGUUGGGAGAGCGUUAGACUGAUGAUCUAAAGGUCCUGGAUCGACCCCGGGUUUCGGCA